GAUUCUGUGGCCUAAGUGAUUAUAGCGUCCUCCUCGGAUGCGAAAGGUCGAGGGUUCGAACCCCUGCCGAGGCA